UGCGGCCAGGAACCUCCUCACGACUGCACCAGCCACCUCCUGCGGUCGCCUGGGCGCCAGCCCCCGGGUCGUGCCCGAGGGCGUCCGCGUCCUGCUGCUUGGCAGGCCCUGCCUCCCUCCAGCAGGAACUGCGGCUCUUUGAGGCCAAAGCCGUCAGCACAGUCCCAGGGGGGCCGGCGCGCCGAGCACUCUAGGAAUGGAUGCCCACCAUCGAGGUGGUAGGCGGGCUGAACUAACUAACGCACGACCUCUAGUUGACCGAGAGGACCGUGCAGAGGAGAUGCCCUUAAUAAGAGAGUGCCGGUCCGGUCCCUCUUCUCUUUAAAGGGACAGAGACUCCAGUUCAGCUUUUCCGGCGCCGGGUCUUCGAAAAACUCCUUAUGCUAAUGAGUGUAUUAGCAAUCCAGAUGACGGAUGCGGACGCGAUAGGCGGCUAGGACCAGGCGGGGCACCAAUCCGCGAGCAAGGCUAAGGGGAGGAUCCCAGAGGGAUGAGUCCCUGAGGAGGCCACGGCAGCAAGCAGCAGGCACGGCCGCCAGAAUGGGCAGUGGAGAGCUCACAUCUUGAACCACAAGCACAAAGCAGAGAGCAAAACACCAGGAGGCCUUUUACUCUCAAGCCUACUACCAGUAACACAAAAUCUACCAGCAAGGCCUCAUGACCUCCAUCUCACCCAGCAAGCACUACCAACUGGAGGCUAAGUGUUCAAAUGCCUAAGACUAUGGAGGCUCAUAUACGUAUAACCUGCAUAACAGACCCAAGUUUAGGGCUGGAGUCUGGCUGGCUGCAUGGAUCUGCAGCAACUAGCCAGCCUCCUUGACCCUCACCUUCCUACUUAGACAUCCCAUCAGCUAGGAGUCUCUGGCCUGGAUUACUGCAUAGUUUUCCUACUUCUGUCUCAACAGAGGAACUGCCAUCCUAUAACAUUAACCUAAGUUUGCUUAUGUCCCUCCUCUGCUCCAAUCCUGGAGACUGAAUUCCAUUCCCUUAGUAGUAAAUGCCAAAAUCUUUACAGUGGCUCAUGAGCUCUCACGUACCUGAGUUCCUGCCCUUACCAUAGCCUCUCCUCUCUGCUCUGUUGCCUGGACCCUUCCUCUGCUUAGAUUCCUAGCACCACCCCCACUCUUACUCCCACCCCCACCCCAUGCUCGCCCCUAGUGUUCUUCAGGUCUUUAUUUAAAUGUCAUAUGCUCAAUGAUGCCUCCUUUGAGAGCAUUAUCUACAAGUGCAGUCCCAGCACUGGGUGUCGCCCCUUCCCCGAUUUACUUGAGUGUAGUUCACCCCAUCUCACCCACUGCAUAUUCGCUUACUUCUCUUGUUUACUUUUUAUCUUGCCCUGCUAUGGUUAGAGGAUCUCUGCCCUUCUGUUCACUGCCAUUUCCAGUGUCCAGAACAGUGUCUGACAUGGCAGGUAGGCAAACAAUUCCUAUCUGUGGUGUGAAUGGGUGAAUGUGUGCAGAAGAGCUAGAGUUUAGUAUUUCUGUCUGCAUCUGUCUUCUAGUGGCUGUUCUUGGCCUGGAAGUGAGAACAUGCCAAACUCAGGAUGAUAAAGAAGAUAUAUUUAAGAUACAUGACAUGGCAUCUUUAUUUUCCCUCUACCACUGAGCUGUAUGCCUGUUUUUACUUUAUAUUUUAAGACAAGGCAGGACUUAGACUUUUGAUCUUCCUGCCUCUUGUGAAACAUUUCCUCCUUCAAGGAAGUUCCUUAAGCAGGAAAAUAAGCAAUUCAAAAUAGCUCCAGGAAGUCCCUGAAACUGACCAGAUUCACAAGGUCCCUCCCUGCCAGAGUAAGCAAUAAAAACUGAGAGUCUCCCUCAGAAGAGGUGAAGCCGAGCUGCAAAGAAGGCUUAGUGAGAAAAGUUGUGAGGACCCAGCUACCAGGCAGGCCAGCUGCCCGGAAGAAAUAGAGAGCAGCCAAGCUGCCUGGUGGACACUCAGACCAAUUGAGGCACCUCAGGAAACCAGCUGAGCUGCAAAGAAGACCCUGAGACCAGAUCAGCUUCUGGGAGAAGCAGAAACCAACUAAGCUGCCUGGAGGAGGUGUAGAUCAGAGCCAUUUGGAAAGGACACACUCUCCAGCCUGUCGAGCUGUCUGCAGGCUAUGCAGUAUGCUCCACGUUCCAGCUUCUGUGAACCGUCACCCAUGCUGGGGUGGACUUUGGUGAUGCAGCUAUCUUUGAAUCUUUUCUGCUCCUAUAAGUAACCCUCCACCUGCCCCCGUCAUGGUCCUGUAAAUAAUGCCAAUAAAACUCAUUGGUUCACUAAACUGGGCUUUGGAGUUAUCCAAA